rnacentral:rRNA from 1 species
CUACGGGGGGCUGCAGUGAGGAAUAUUGGUCAAUGGGCGCAAGCCUGAACCAGCCAUGCCGCGUGAAGGAUGACGGCCCUAUGGGUUGUAAACUUCUUUUAUACGGGAAGAAACGCCUCUACGUGUAGAGGUUUGACGGUACCGUACGAAUAAGCAUCGGCUAACUCCGUGCCAGCAGCCGCGGUAAUACGGAGGAUGCAAGCGUUAUCCGGAUUUAUUGGGUUUAAAGGGUACGUAGGCGGAAGAUUAAGUCAGUAGUGAAAUCCUGCAGCUUAACUGUAGAACUGUUAUUGAUACUGGUUUUCUUGAAUGUAGUUGAGGUAGGCGGAAUAAGUAAUGUAGCGGUGAAAUGCUUAGAUAUUACUUAGAACACCGAUUGCGAAGGCAGCUUACUAAGCUAUGAUUGACGCUGAGGUACGAAAGCGUGGGGAGCGAACAGGAUUAGAUACCCUCGUAGUC